CCUACGGGGGGCUGCAGUCGAGGAUCUUCGUCAAUGGGCGCAAGCCUGAACGAGCGACGCCGCGUGCGCGAUGAAGGCCUUCGGGUUGUAAAGCGCGAAAGUGGGGAGAAAGCGAAAGUUGAUCAAUCCACAGUAAGGACGGGCUAAGUUCGUGCCAGCAGCCGCGGUAAGACGAACUGCCCUAACGUUGUUCGGAAUCACUGGGCUUAAAGGGCGCGUAGGCGGUCGAUCAAGUCAGGGGUGAAAUCCUGCAGCUUAACUGUAGAAGUGCCUCUGAUACUGAUCGUCUGGAGGGAGAUAGGGGUGUGUGGAACUUCCAGGGGAGCGGUGAAAUGCGUUGAUAUUGGAAGGAACGCCGGAGGCGAAAGCGACGCACUGGAUCUCUACUGACGCUGAGGCGCGAAAGCCAGGGGAGCAAACGGGAUUAGAUACCCGAGUAGUC
rnacentral:rRNA from 1 species